UACGGAGGGUGCAAGCGUUGUCCGGAUUUAUUGGGUUUAAAGGGUGCGUAGGCGGCUAAUUAAGUCAGUGGUGAAAGCCUGUAGCUCAACUAUAGAAUUGCCAUUGAUACUGAUUAGCUUGAGUUUGGUUGAGGUAGGCGGAAUGGAUGGUGUAGCGGUGAAAUGCAUAGAUAUCAUCCAGAACACCGAUAGCGAAGGCAGCUUACUGAGCCGAAACUGACGCUGAGGCACGAAAGCAUGGGGAUCGAACAGG
rnacentral:ncRNA from 4 species